rnacentral:rRNA from 1 species
UACGUAGGGGGCAAGCGUUGUCCGGAUUUAUUGGGCGUAAAGAGCGUGUAGGCGGCCAGGUAGGUCUGCUGUGAAAACUCGAGGCUCAACCUCGAGACGUCGGCGGAAACCAUCUGGCUAGAGUCCGGAAGAGGAGAGUGGAAUUCCUGGUGUAGCGGUGAAAUGCGCAGAUAUCAGGAAGAACACCCGUGGCGAAGGCGGCUCUCUGAGACGGUACUGACGCUGAGACGCGAAAGCGUGGGGAGCGAACAGG